rnacentral:rRNA from 1 species
AUGAUAAAUUCCAUCACACGCUGGCACAUUCAGAGAAACAGAUUUGAGUUACUACUGAACCCACUAUUGAUAAAUUAUGUCAUCGAUGCUGGCACCUAUAGAGCAGCAGAUUUGGCACAUUCAGACAUCAAUUUGGGCAAACAACUUCAUCAAUCGAUAGUGUUCAAAAAGAAAAGAAAGAGACCGGCCGAAAGCGACGAUGACAGUGAGGAUAGCCCAGAUGGAGCUGCGAGUGGCGUGGUCACCUUGGCCGCGUACACGGGAUUCAUGGGGUCCUUGCGCGCGGACGGUCAUGUCUGCUGGCGCACCAACUCAUCGCCGCCGAUGCCGGGGCAGUUGGAAACGACCCAAUGA